rnacentral:rRNA from 1 species
AAACAUAGUCUUUUGGGUUAGUUUAUAAAAAGAUAAUUUCUGCUCAAUGAUUAAUAAAUAGCCGCAGUAAUUUGGCUGUGCGAAGGUAGCAUAAUCAUUUGCUUUUUAAUUAAGGGCUUGUAUGAAUGAAAAUAUGAGAAUUCUGCUGUCUUGGUUUAAAAGAUAUAAAUUGGUUUUUUUGUGAAGAAACAGAAAUAAAGUAAGGGGACAAGAAGACCCUUUUGAUCUUUAUUCUUUUUUUGUAAUUUUUAAUUUUUUUAUGAUUUAGAAUUUGGUUGGGGCGAUCAAAGAAGAUGAAAUCUUCUUUUUAGUUAGAAUAUUUUUGAUCCAAUAUUUUUGAUUAAAAGAAUAAGUUAGCAAAGGGAUAACAGCGUAAUUUUUUUUGUGAGUUCUUAUUAAAAAAAAAGAUUGCGACCUCGAUGUUGACUUAUUUUUACUUUUUGGUGCAGUAG